rnacentral:rRNA from 1 species
UACGGAGGAUGCGAGCGUUAUCCGGAUUUUUUGGGUUUAAAGGGUGCGUAGGCGGGAUGCCAAGUCAGCGGUAAAAAUGCGGUGCUCAACGCCGUCGAGCCGUUGAAACUGGCGUUCUUGAGUGGGCGAGAAGUAUGCGGAAUGCGUGGUGUAGCGGUGAAAUGCAUAGAUAUCACGCAGAACUCCGAUUGCGAAGGCAGCAUACAGGCGCCCUACUGACGCUGAGGCACGAAAGCGUGGGUAUCGAACAGG